rnacentral:rRNA from 2 species
CCUUUCCUUCUGGGGAACCUCAUGCCCUUCACUGGGCGUGUUGGGGAACCAGGACUUUUACUUUGAAAAAAUUAGAGUGUUCAAAGCAGGCAUUUUGCUUGAAUACAUUAGCAUGGAAUAAUAAAAUAGGACGGAUGGUUCUAUUUUGUUGGUUUCUAGGAUCACCGUAAUGAUUAAUAGGGAUAUUGGGGGCAUUAGUAUUCAAUUGUCAGAGGUGAAAUUCUUGGAUUUAUUGAAGACUAACUACUGCGAAAGCAUUUGCCAAGGAUGUUUUCAUUAAUCAAGGACGAAAGUUAGGGGAUCGAAGACGAUCAGAUACCGUCGUAGUCUUAACCAUAAACUAUGCCGGCUAGGAAUCAGACGAUGUUAAUUUUUUAAUGACUCGUUCGGCGCCUUACGGGAAAC